rnacentral:lncRNA from 1 species
CAUCAUAAAAGAUUUUCUUUGUUCAUCCUAGAAUAAUAUUUUAUCAUCAAAUCUUUAUCUUGCCAAUAAUAGUCAACUUCUCAACUAGAAGUAAUAUCAUAGUAUUAUUCUCACAUCGAAUUUAAACUUACGAUUCACUUGAAUAACCAAUGAUCAAAUUAAUAACCACAAUGCACAAUAAAAUUUUAUGUCAAUCUUUUUGUGAUUACUUUCGAUCAAAAUCAAACUAAUCAUAUCAUGAUCUAUAGAUCAUCCAUCAUAUUUCAAACUCCAUAUGUCAUAAUCUCUUGUGAUCCUUUCAUACAUAAUCUCAAUGUAUAACCAAAAGUUCAUAAAAAUUUCUCACACUGUAAUCAUCAUAGAUCUACACUACAAUGAUCCUAGUGUUUAUCCACUUACACUCAUUCUAUAUCUGAUUAUACACAUCUUAGUUCAUCUACUAAUGCUCUAAUACCACUUUAAUUAUCAUGCCUCCGAUCCG